AGUGAACGCUGGCGGUAGGCCUAACACAUGCAAGUCGAACGGCAGCACAGUAAGAGCUUGCUCUUACGGGUGGCGAGUGGCGGACGGGUGAGGAAUACAUCGGAAUCUACUUUUUCGUGGGGGAUAACGUAGGGAAACUUACGCUAAUACCGCAUACGACCUACGGGUGAAAGCAGGGGAUCUUCGGACCUUGCGCGAUUGAAUGAGCCGAUGUCGGAUUAGCUAGUUGGCGGGGUAAAGGCCCACCAAGGCGACGAUCCGUAGCUGGUCUGAGAGGAUGAUCAGCCGCACUGGAACUGGAACACGGUCCAGACUCCUACGGGAGGCAGCAGUGGGGAAUAUUGGGCAAUGGGCGCAAGCCUGAUCCAGCCAUACCGCGUGGGUGAAGAAGGCCUUCGGGUUGUAAAGCCCUUUUGUUGGGAAAGAAAAGCAGCAGGUUAAUACCCCGCUGUUCUGACGGUACCCAAAGAAUAAGCACCGGCUAACUUCGUG
rnacentral:rRNA from 1 species